GGGGUUGUAGCUCAGUGGUAGAGCUCUUGCCUCACAUGUGAGGCACUGAGUUUGAUCCUCAGCACCACA
rnacentral:tRNA from 1 species